rnacentral:lncRNA from 1 species
AAAGAGAAGUUAAACAUACGACAUGAACUGAAUUAACUAGUGCGCAUGACUAGUUAAAAACAAAGUUCCUUUGACAAUAAAUUUCUAAUUAAAUCAUGGCUGCACCUCGGCAGCGCUAUUGUGAGAGUGAAAGUGGACGUGCUGCUACUCCCCUCAUUCCUAACAUGUAUCAAGUACCUGCAUUGAGUAAUGCAAGAGUGAGAUGACACAUCUCAGCAAGUAAAAUAAUAUCAAACUGUUUAACCACAUAAGAACAUUGUUUUACCACCACUUGAUUCCACAACCUUCUUAUUACGAAGGUGCAGCACGUAUACAACGUACAACACACCUAGUCACCACACCUCGCAGGUAGAAACCACAAUAGUAACAUAGUAAUGUCACACUUCAUAUAUAUAUACCUCAUGAGUGCAAAUGUCUGCAAAUGCAAGGAUGACUUCUGCCUUCAUACCUCUAAGGAUAUGAAGCCGCAUCGUACCCCUCCUCGAGCAACGUACGAUGCUAAAAAUGUACGGGUACGGUCGAACCAUAAGAUCAUGACAUAACUUUAAAAUGCAAGAUGGAUGAUGCGAUGUGCAUGUCAUGCCUACAACACUUCAUAUAACGUGAUUCAAAAAGAUACUUCAACUUUAUCCAAGAUGGGAAUCAACCACAUAUAUCAUUAACAAAUUAUGAUCAUCCACAAUAUUAGACAAUUGAGAAUUAAUACUUCCAAACAAAUAAACUUCAUCAUAGAAUUCAAUGAUUAACAUAAUUAAAACUUAUGCAUACUCAAUGACAGGGAAUAGGAUGCAAACCAAACGGUAGCAACCACCACUGUAUUUACUUGCCUUUACCGGAAGUUCGGGCAAAUCCCUAAGUACGAUCCGGAAGUCCACCACCUGUUUUUGACACACAACUUAGUGCACCAAUUUCACAUAAUCAGGCUCAUAAGCGACGCUGCACCUACGCACAAACUCAAACCCCGCCGCGGGUUACAUCUCUCCCCACACCCACCAAACUGCAGCGGGGCUGCUUAAUAUUUUCAUAACUUUAAAAUUAUGACAGCAGUGGUAACAAACAAAAACUCCAGAGGCAUCUACAUAAAAUUCCCCACAAGUUUUGUACACAAUUUAUAAUUAAAUUCCAACAUCUAAUUAGCCCAAAACAGUCCACAAGAUGAACCCUGUAAUCUGUUUUUUGUCUUUUGGACAGCGACAUACCCGGAUUCAAACAGCGAUAUCUUUUAAAAUAUAAUUCCAAAUCAAGCGUAUAAGUACUCAUUGGAAAGAUAAGACAAAGCCCUACAUUAUUAUCAUACUGGUUAACACUAAUUACCCACGAAAAAUGCCCAGAAACUGCUAAUACUACUUUUGUUCACCCACCUGAAAAUCUGUUUUUUUGGACAGCAACAUAACCGGAUUCAAACAACGAUAUCUCCUAAAUUAUAACUCCGAAUCGAGCGCAUAAGUACCCGUUGGAAAGUUAUGACAAAGCUCUACAUGAUUCACCCACUGAUCCCCACUAAUUACCCACGAAAAAUUCCCAGAAAUCCCUAGAACUACUGCUGUUCGCCACCCACAAAAUUUCAGGACAGCACCUCUACCGAUUCGGAUAGGUAAACAUAUAAUCAAUUGGAUUACAACACAAUUAAACAAGAUACAAUCUCAAAAUCACCUUGAAUCCUCCCCCUUUCCUCCCUUCUUCUUCCCUCCACCAAAAUCCAAUUGGAGACAUGCACCAACGCGACGUAGAUCCGAGCGAGAAAGGAAUGGCACCUUGGAGAGAAGGGCUUGAGGAGGGGGCGGCUAGGGUUUGAUGGGGGAGGUGGGGUGGCGGCUGCAAAUGGGUGUAGGAGUGAGAGGGGCGUCCUCCAAACCUAGAGAGAGGGGGGCGGCUGCACAAGAGAAAGGGGAGGGGGAUGGCUGAAAAAAAUCCCAAGGGAUUAAGGGAGGGGCGGCUAGGGUUAGGGGAACUAGUGGGCCGGAUCAAGAACCAUGGCCCAACUCGUUCACACGUCAACCCCCGACCCCCCCUAGCACAUGAGUCUAACCAAAAUUCUACUAUUUUACUGGUGAAUGCUUCCCCAAAAAUUCCCAACCCCAAAAGCGUACCACCCAAAAGAAAGAAGGAAAAAAGAAACAAGGAAAGAAUGAACUCCAACUUCUCUUCUUUGCAAACUGGGUAUCACACUCUACCCCCCUUGAAAAGAAUUCGACCUCGAAUUCUGACGCUUCUAUCAGAACGACAAAAGGAAAGAUCAGCGACGACAAAAACUCACCCCAUAACGAAAAGUUCGGGGUACUUCUGCCGCAUCAGCUCCUCGAGCUCCAAGGAUUCUAGGAUACGCAGCAGACGACACUCUAGAGUCAGGUCUUGCUACAUGGGAAUCGACUCUAGCUCGAUUUAUUGAUCUGGAUUCUGCAAAUACUUUCUCAACAUAGAGACAUGGAAUACAUGGAGUACACUGAUCAUAGACUCCGACAAUUGCAUGUGCUAAGCCAAGCUGCCAACUCGGGCUAAGAUAGUAGACGGUCCUAUAUACCUCGGACAAAGCUUUCCUGACACCAAAUCAACCUUGACACAUGCAAGUACUUCAAUGAAUAUAUAUAUUAAUGCAAUACAUACGGUGCUCCUAUAGCCUAAACCAAACCUAUUCAAACAAGAGUAACUUCAAAAGACCAAUUUAAUGCUUGCAUAUUUCUAGACAGCAGCACAACAGUUAAUUGUUUUGCUCAUAACUCACAAAAUAUGCAUCCAAAAGUAGUAAACUAAGACUUUAUGGAAAGCUUACAAAGUCCACUAUACCCUUGGUAUUAUCAUCACCACAAGAUUUGACACUUAGAAAGGCCAAACAAUGCAAAACGUAAAUUUUGUCCAGACUUGGACAGAAUUCAACUACUCACUUCAAAAAUCCAUAAUUGGAGUCUCAGUCAUCCAAUUGAGGCGCUCCUAGACUUUUUAGGAAGCUAGUAAAAUUGUCUAUAUUUCAUUUAUAAACAUAUUAGGUUAAUUCAAUGCAUAUCAAGAUCAAAAGACAUAAGAAAGGCUUUGCUGUCCAAAUUUGGAUAGAUUCAAAGAUUCCACUUAAAACAGUUGUAGCUUAACUUAUAGGUCACCAAAAAGGGUGAUCCAAAAUUUGUUGGAAAGCUUAAGGAAAGUACUACCACUUCUUUAUAAUUUAUAAGAACUGAUUCGAAGUUUAACUUAGACAAACAAGGUCAGUUUCGAAAUCUGUACAGAAUCUGGACAGAUUCCAAGACUAGACUUGAGAAAAUCAUAACUCCCAAGCUUCUAGACCUAUGGUCAUGAAAUGUUUACACAAGUAAGAUGAAGAAGUUUGCUACAACUUUUAUAUACAACACCUCUACAGAAAACAUGGUUUAAUUCAUUGAACUAGCUGCAUAACCAAAACUGGUCAUACAGUCCCAAACAACAAGCAAUAGAUUUAUUCAGGUUCUAUACUCUUCUAAGAUUAAGCGUUCAUCGAAGGACUAAUAACUUUAGGUUCUUCAUAACGAGACACUUAGAUCCAACAUAAGGAUAGAAGCAAUAUGCUAACUUUUUAAAUCAUUUUAAGCCUGAUCUCACAUCAUGCAAGCAAGAAUCGAUUUAACCAUACUAUGCCUGCCCAUAUAUCCAUCCAAGCACAUUCUAUACAUUAUAUCAUCCCAUCGAAGAACUCUCUUUUUUUAUUAUGCUAUGCAUAUAUAUCCAUCCAAUAACUCACACAAUCUCCAUCUCAACCUAGACUUCACACGACGUAACUAUUUCAUACUUACUCAAUCACGCCAAGACCAGAAAACAUGGCUUCACAACAAUACGUACUGGCCUAUUCAAAUGUCCCUCGCUAUCUCUGUGUUUCAGCCCACGCUCCGCAUAUACAUAAACAAGAUAACUAUCACAACCACUACGUCUAUUCCCUCCCACCAUACAGCGUAAUUAACAUGGAUUACGAAAGAGCUCACUAUAACCCAAACUUCCAUGGAAAUAUCCCUAAAUAGAAAAUUGACAAUCAACAACACAAAUGUUCAUUCUGUUUCUACCUCUUUCACUAUAAAAGCAAUCAUAACAAAGAAAUAUUGUAAAAUCAUCUAAACUUCAUGAUCUACAACUUUCGUAUUCAAAGGAUAAACAAGGUUUUAUUUUAUCUCCCAUUUUUAAUUUGACUUGUAAGGCGACAUACAAGAUCUGCCACCAGAACCUGACGGAGCAUGACCCAUAAAUUCAAAACCUCAUAACUCUCUGCAUCUAACAAAAUUUUGCAAAUAUAAACUCAUUGGAAAGAUUAUAACAUUCCCUAAAACUUUUAUUAUAAUGAGUGUCUCGGAAUUGGUUUCCAAACCGAUAAAACAAUGCAAACUGCUUUGUUGCAAAACUGAUAUGAUAGAAACAAUGGACAACUAAAAUUCAAAAUCCUAUAACUCCUGCUAUACUCAACUUAAAACUACAACGAUCACACGUUGGAAAAGUUUGGAAAUUGUCCACGACUUUUGCAAUAAACUUGCACCCAAAUUUAUCUUUAUAGCCCUCAAAUCUGCAUUACAGUUAAACUCAGCCUGAGAUACUGCACAUCGGAGAUUCAACUUAUAUCCAGACAACCACGUCACCCAAUCUAUUUAACAGACAAUUACAAGUAAAUACCCAUUAAAAGAUACUGAGAAAAACUAAAAGUUUUGGUUAAAGAGAAUUCCCAAAUUUGGGCUCUGAAACUAUCAAAACGCGGUCGAUUUAUUGGUGGUUUUAACGACACCUAAAGUUCAGACACAACGGUGCAACAACUUUAGAGUAGCCUAACUCCAAUUAUAUGCAAUGAAAAUUACAAACCAAUACUCUUUGGAAAGAUCAUGAAAUUACUAAAACUUUCAUAAUCCAGCAAAGACCAAAAUUUACCGUCUUCAAUGUCUAUACUUCCGUACAAAAUUAAAGCUGCUAUAGGAAACCCAUAACUCUCAAAUGUUUAGACCAAACUGGGUGAUUAAGCAUCCUAUGCAAAGAUGAAGAAACCUACUACAAAACAUUCUAGAUAAGUGAAGCCUGAUUCAGCCUCCAACUAAGUUAAGAUGACUCCCAAAACCAAACAACACCUUACCCAUAAAAAAACAAUAUAAAAUAAAACCCAAGGCAUUGGCAGGUGCAAUCAACACUAGGAUUUUCCACUACCAAAUGGGGAUGCAACUCCCCAAAGCCUUUAAACAACACUUUACCUAAUAGGUUAGAACACUAAGCACAACAAUCAACGGAUUCAACAACCUCGUUUGUUAAUGCCACUAAGGUCAAACAUCCAUGUAUCGACAAUGUAUGAAACAACUGGCAUACCUGUCUCUAGCACUAUAAAACAUGGUUGUUAUUACACUAGAAUCCCACUACUAGAGCUCUCCACAACUAUUCAGUUGACGUGAAGCAAAUGGUGCUCACAUCAUAUAACGUCUUUUUCUCCUCUCAAAAGAGAUAAAAUUUACAAUACUCAUAAAGCAAUGGAGGGAUAACAACAAGAAAACUAAUAUACUUCUUGACACAGACUCAUGCAAAAGCUUCAUAAAUAUUACUUUCAAUACUAAAAUAAUAACACGAUACUGUGCUCAACAGUAGUAAUUGGACUUCAAUAAGACAAUCCACAUAACCAAACUACCUUGAUUAACCUCACAUACAACAAAACCUACUAUUACUGCACUUGAACAAUUUGUACCUCGUGAUAUCACAGGAUGCAUUCAAAGUAGUAGACAUACAUGAUCAUCAAACCAUCAUUCAUAUAAAAAAAUCUCAAUCCGAUGCAACAACCCCAUCAUUAAAGAGAUAGAUGACUAACAAACAUAAGCAACUCCCAGUUAAGCAUUGACUUCGUUUAAGAUAAAGCGGUCUAAAUAAUGAUUCAACAAGCAUGCAUAGAGAAACUGAUCAUAAAAAAAAUCAAACUACCAUACAACGUUGGCAAAUAAAAAAAUAUAAAAUGGAUUGUCAAUAUCGUCCACAUGACUAGCCUGCAACAACUAAAAAUUAUGCAUAGCCUUUAUGGCUAUUGAAACAAGCCAUAGAAGGAAACAUGCACGACAUAAAAUCCACUUGAAACCACCCUAUUUAUUUUUAAAAAUAAGGUUGCACAUAAUAAGAAAACCCAUUAGGUAAACAUGGUUGGACUUAUCAAUCUACGUCAUCUUACAAAUUCACUUGAGUUCUACAGUCUCAAGAUUUUAUAGACAUUACAACGUUGCCUUUGCUCUAUAGAGACAAACCAAUUUUAUACUAAGAUCAAGUUAGCAAGUAGCCACACUAGUCAAAAAAAGGUGAGGCGCAAAGCAUUGCACCCACGGAAAUAUUACAUUGAUAAGUUGGGUUGUAACCCAACAGUCAAUCAAACUCAACAACACCAUAAAACUACAUUAUAUAGUGUUUUCACACUACACCAAGUCGGAUUAGACCCACUAUACACAAGCUCAAUAAACAAUCGGUCCUACAAGUACUAGAACCCAAGAAUCCUUUUGAAAAAAAAACAUCCACAGUCAAGCAUAUAGAAAUAUAUGAUAGUAAUAGCUCAGAGAUUUGAAAACAUUGCAUCCAAAAAAACAUCAUGACGAUAUGAAUAUAAAACAAGUACAUUAGUAGCUUCACUUGCAUAAUAACUUAAAUAACAACCACAUCAAGAAACCAAUAUUAAAUAGAAGUAACAUAUCAUAUCAAGCAUUACAUCGUUAACGACAUACCCCAUCAAACCAUAAAGGGAUUUGGAAUAAGAACAUUCUAGUCAUCUAUACAAUAAAAUACUAAUAUGAAAGAUAUACGAACCCAUACCCUUCCUAUAUGUGCAAGUGUGUCAAAUUUAUCUUCAAAUUGCGUAGAAUCUAAAGCCUAUCCUUUGAUACCAACUGUAACACCCCGAAGGGGUCCACAAACACCCCGGAAUGCUACUAAACAACACUUCUGCCAUCUAUAUAUAAAAUUUCGACAGCAUACCCUUUGCAAAAUUGCAUAAACGAGAGGGCAACAGUGUAUAAACAUAUAUCAUGACAAAAACAUACUAAGUACUAUUAAUCGGCUAGCAAAGAGAAGUUAAACAUACGACAUGAACUGAAUUAACUAGUGCGCACGACUAGUUAAAAAACAAACUUCCUUUGACAAUAAAUUUCUAAUUAAAUCAUGGCUGCACCUCGACAGCGCUAUUGUGAGAGUGAAAGUGGACGUGCUGCUACUCCCCUCAUUCCCAACAUGUAUCAAGUACCUGCAUUGAGUAAUGCAAGAGUGAGAUGACACAUCUCAGCAAGUAAAAUAAUAUCAAACUGUUUAACCACAUAAGAACAUUGUUUUACCACCACUUGAUUCCACAACCUUCUUAUUACGAAGGUGCAGCACGUAUACAACGUACAACACACCUAGUCACCACACCUCGCAGGUAGAAACCACAAUAGUAACAUAGUAAUGUCACACUUCAUAUAUAUACCUCAUGAGUGCAAAUGUCUGCAAAUGCAAGGAUGACUUCUGCCUUCAUACCUGUAAGGAUAUGAAGCCGCAUCGUACCCCUCCUCGGGCAACGUACGAUGCUAAAAAUGUACCGGUACGGUCGGACCAUAAGAUCACGACAUAACUUCAAAAUGCAAGAUGGAUGAUGCGAUGUGCAUGUCAUGCCUACAACACUUCAUAUAACGUGAUUCAAAAAGAUACUUCAACUUCAUCGAAGAUGGGAAUCAACCACAUAUAUCAUUAACAAAUUAUGAUCAUCCACAAUAUUAGACAAUUGAGAAUUAAUACUUCCAAACAAAUAAACUUCAUCAUAGAAUUCAAUGAUUAACAUAAUUAAAACUUAUGCAUACACAAUGACAGGGAAUAGGAUGCAAACCAAACGGUAGCAACCACCACUGUAUUUACUUGCCUUUACCGGAAGUUCGGGCAAAUCCCUAAGUACGAUCCGGAAGUCCACCACCUGUUUUUGACACACAACUUAGUGCACCAAUUUCACAUAAUCAGGCUCAUAAGCGACGCCGCACCUAUGCACAAACUCAAACCCCCCCGCGGGUUACAUCUCUCCCCACACCCACCAAACUGCAGCGGGGCUGCUUAAUAUUUUCAUAACUUUAAAAUUAUGACAGCAGUGGUAACAAACAAAAACUCCAGAGGCAUCUACAUAAAAUUCCCCACAAGUUUUGUACACAAUUUAUAAUUAAAUUCCAACAUCUAAUUAGCCCAAAACAGUCCACAAGAUGAACCCUGUAAUCUGUUUUUUUGUCUUUUGGACAGCGACAUACCCGGAUUCAAACAGCGAUAUCUUUUAAAAUAUAAUUCCAAAUCAAGCGCAUAAGUACUCAUUGGAAAGAUAAGACAAAGCCCUACAUUAUUAUCAUACUGGUUAACACUAAUUACCCACGAAAAUGCCCAGAAACUGCUAAUACUUCUUCUGUUCACCCACCUGAAAAUCUGUUUUUUUGGACAGCAACAUAACCGGAUUCAAACAACGAUAUCUCCUAAAUUAUAACUCCGAAUCGAGCGCAUAAGUACCCAUUGGAAAGGUAUGACAAAGCUCUACAUGAUUCACCCACUGAUCCCCACUAAUUACCCACGAAAAAUUCCCAGAAAUCCCUAGAACUACUGCUGUUCGCCCACCCACAAAAUUUCAGGACAGCACCUCUACCGAUUCGGAUAGGUAAACAUAUAAUCAAUUGGAUUACAACACAAUUAAACAAGAUACAAUCUCAAAAUCACCUUGAAUCCUCCCCCUUUCCUCCCUUCUUCUUCCCUCCACCAAAAUCCAAUUGGAGACAUGCACCAACGCG